rnacentral:misc_RNA from 1 species
UGGAUUUCCAAUGAAAUGUAUGAAAAUGCCAAAGCUAUUAAACAUCAUCAGAGUAGUACCUGGCCACUAUUCAAACAUUAAUAUUGGAAGAAAUACAAGAAAAGGAACCCGAAAAGCUAGAUGAGUUCUUAAAAGUUUCUUUUCAGUGAAGAUGCCGGGAAGGACAGUGAGAAGUAAACCCACACAGUGUGUGAAACUCCACUUAAGCCUUGAUGGUAGGUGGGUUCAAGACUCUGUUCAAGGUUAAAAAACUAAGAAAAGCUAACAUAUAUCAUUUCACGAAAACACAAACAUCCUGCAGUUGCAUGUUGCACUUUUCAUACAUUUGGUGGUGGCCAUAUCUUGCCAAACAACUCUUCAACCCGCUUAGCCUGAUUAAUAUACCCAUCCAGUCCAAUAGUGAGGAGCUCCACUGAUGCAGGACCCAUAGCCGAGGAAAAGCUAUACUGAUCCCACUUUUGAAGCUCAUCUUGAGUGAAAUUGAAGGCAGCUGCUGACUGUGGAGAUAAUCUUCUUGUAAAUGAGUACUUCUCAUCAGGUAGGGUCACAGAUUCUUUAAGAGACUGCAAUACCUUCAGUGGGGUAAUAAUGUAAUCAACCCCCAAAAGGUUGAAGACAUCCUGCUUGUUCCGUACUGCAGCAGCCAUCAGCUUUGUUUUGUGCCCAUACUUGUGGAUGUAGUUAUAAGUUUUUGUUACCAAAGCCAACCCUGGGUCUUCUCCUCUUCUAAGAGCACUUUCAACUUCAGAGUCACCAGUGUGAUUGCGAGACCAAUCCCUCAGGCGACCAACAAAAAUCUGAAUGACAGAAGCACCAGCUUGAGCAGCAGCAGCAGCUUGACAAAAGCUGUAAACAAAUGUCAAAUGUGUCUGUAUACCUUCAGCUUCGAGCACCCUUGAUGCCUCAAUUCCUUGCCAAGUUGCAGGAAUUUUGAACAGCAAUCUUUCUGGAGGCACUUCAAUUUCGGUAUAGGCUUUCAAAAGGUCAUGCACCUUUCGCACAAUGCCAUGUGUGUCGUAUGCGAGGCGAGCAUCCACUUCAGUAGAAACUCGACCAGGCACAAGCUUUGCUAGAUCACCACCAACGUGUGCUAAAGCCUUGUUGAAGAAACAAGACAUCUGAAGAUCAGAACUCUCCAAUCCAUAACACUCAGAAUCUGAUAAAGCUCUGUCUACAGCACUCUUAAAUUUUGUAUCAGGUAGACCACAUAUGCCUAAGAGCAGAGAAGAGCUUACAGUACCAGCAGUUGGAGGAAAUUUCUCGAA